rnacentral:rRNA from 1 species
UACGGAGGGUGCAAGCGUUGCUCGGAAUUACUGGGCGUAAAGCGCGCGUAGGCGGCCCGGUAAGUCCGUUGUGAAAGUCAAAGGCUCAACCUUUGAACGCCGAUGGAUACUGCCGGGCUAGAGUCCGGAAGAGGCGAGUGGAAUUCCUGGUGUAGCGGUGGAAUGCGCAGAUAUCAGGAGGAACACCAAUAGCGAAGGCAGCUCGCUGGGACGGUACUGACGCUGAGGCGCGAAAGCGUGGGGAGCGAACAGG